rnacentral:RNase_P_RNA from 1 species
UGAGUAAGUCGGAUAAUCGCGGGUACAGUGCCGAAAGGCCGUAUCUGAGGAAAGUCCGGGCUCCACAGGGCAAGGGUGCCGGGUAACUCCCGGUGAAGGCGACUUCAAGGAAAGUGCAACAGAAAUAUACCGCUUGUUGCGUAGUUUUCACGCAGCAAGUAAGGGUGGAAAGGUGAGGUAAGAGCUCACCAGCGGCAUGGCGACUUGCCGGUCUAUGUAAACCCCAUCCGGAGCAACACCGCAGAGGGACAUGAUGGCGGCCCGCCAGUCCCGGGCAGGUGGCUUGAGCCAUACAGCGAUGUAUGGCCCAGACAGAUGAUUAUCCAAGACAGAACCCGGCUUACAGACUUACUCAUCAG